GGAGAAAGAACUAACAAGGAUUCCCCUAGUAACUGCGAGUGAAGCGGGAAAAGCUCAAAUUUGAAAUCUGGCAGCUCCGCUGUCCGAGUUGUAUUCUGGAGAAGCGUCUUCCGUGCCGGACCGUGUACAAGUCCCUUGGAACAGGGCGUCGUAGAGGGUGAGAAUCCCGUCUUUGACACGGACCCCCGGUGCCAUGUGAUGCGCUCUCGAAGAGUCGAGUUGUUUGGGAAUGCAGCUCAAAACGGGUGGUAAAUUCCAUCUAAAGCUAAAUAUUGGCGAGAGACCGAUAGCGAACAAGUACCGUGAGGGAAAGAUGAAAAGCACUUUGGAAAGAGAGUAAAACAGUACGUGAAAUUGUUGAAAGGGAAACGCUUGAAGUCAGUCGCGUCUGUCGGAACUCAGCCUUGCUUCUGCUUGGUGCACUUUCCGGCUCGACGGGCCAGCAUCGGUUUUGGGCGGCGGACACUGGCGAGGGGAAGGUGGCAGCUCCGGCUGUGUUAUAGCCCCCCGUCGCAAACGUCGUCCGGGACCGAGGAAUCCGGCGCAAGCCUGGGAUGCUGGCGUAAUGGCUUUAAACGACCCGUCUUGAAACACGGACCAAGGAGUGCUACGUUCUCGCGAGUGUUUGGGUGGAAAACCCAGACGCGCAAUGAAAGUGAAAGUCGAUACCCCUCACGGGGGCACCGACGCCCGAGCCUGAUGUUUUCGGAAGGCCUUGCGGUAGAGCGAGUGCGUUGCGACCCGAAAGAUGGUGAACUAUUCCUGAGGAGGGCGAAGCCAGAGGAAACUCUGGUGGAGGCUCGUAGCGGUUCUGACGUGCAAAUCGAUCGCAGGACUUGGGUAUAGGGGCGAAAGACUAAUCGAAC
rnacentral:rRNA from 1 species